AUUACUUUGGCAGAGGAAUGUGUUAGAUUUAGGAUCUAAAUAUGCGUAAGUAGAACGCAAGUAAUA
rnacentral:tRNA from 1 species